UUAUGCUCACAUGUAUAAUGUAAUUGAAGAAAUUCUGUUUUCCGUUUGGUCUUUUGUAUUUCCUUAGAAAAGACAUAGACUGUCAUUUCCUUGUUUGUUUCCUGGCUAACUUAUGCUACUUCCCAUUAUCUGUAAAAAUGUUAUGGUUACAAGGAUCAUUUUACUAUAGGUCCUUUCGGUGUAAGGGUCUACUCAAGGGUGAUACAUUGAAUUUUGACGUAAGCAUAGUGCAGAAGGGAUUCUGAUGUUGUCUCUUGUGGGAGAUAUCAUGUCGUUACAUAAUUUGCAAUAAGUAUUUAUUUUACGUUGGUGUAUAGAAUUUAGCUUUUGAAUUGAAAUUGCUUGAGAUUCUGAUCCUUCCAUAUCUGAAGUUACUUCGGUUCUAAAUCGCUUGCAAUUCAGAAAAGGUUUCUUAUGCAAUAUUGAGUGCUACAUUGGAACUUACAGAGGAACAAUGCGCCUCAUUUUUAUCUAAUGUAACUCUUCACGGGGUUGCAGAAGUUUAGUUGUCUUCUCCUAUAUGUGUGUUGCAGAAGAAACAACUGAAUGGACAGUAAAAGGGUUCUUUUCUUCUAAGUAAAUACAUCAUUCAACUGCACUCAUAUAUCAAGUUACUCCAGCUACGUAUACUUACGUGUGUUCUCUUUACACCAAAAUAUAAAUGAAAAAAAUGACUGUUUUCAUACUACAUUACUCUCGCUAUUUUAGAAUGCACUCUCAUUCUCUCAUUACAGAUGAGCCAAAAAGGGCGCAGUGCCAUUGUUCUGAAGCUGUUUUUCUUUUGGUGCCAUCUUCUGUAAUGUCUAACUUGUUACUGCUUCUCCGCUGUCCGUUAUAAAACUUCUACGUUGUUGAAUAUCAAGAAUGCCUGCCCAAAGCUCUGAAGCAGACCUGAAAGCAACAGGAUAUGUCAAUAUACAAGCUACACCAACUUAACACAUCCACCUCCUUCUCUGUAAGUUAUUUGCCGAUAAAAUUGUAUCUCGCACUACACCGAAGUAAGGAAUGCUAUUUCCUCUGUUGCCAUUGUAUGUCCAAUUUUCUCCCAUACUUCGCUCUUAACCCUGUAGUUAUUACUUUAGCAUGGUCUCACUGUAGGAGAUUUCUGUGAGGGAAAAAAAUAAGGAAUAAAGAAAUGAGUGAAAACUCAGCUUGAUUCCCUCAAGCUACUAGGUCUUAAAUAGUGAAUAUACAAGUGCUAAGAUAGGAAGGAAAAUGUUUUACCUGACGACAUCUUUUUCGGCAGGGCUGACUGGGCUUUGGUUGUCGGAAGAUGCCUGACAUAGUAGUGGUGUUGGUUUAGAAGGAAAUUGAAACAACUUCGGAGUCGCCGGACAAUUGCACUACGACGAUCUUUCUUUCUUUCUUCCGGAAGUCGCAAGUUGUGCAUCGAUUAUUCUCUAACCUCGCUCUUUGUGAAAACUCAGUUUGAUUAUUCUGUCAAGCUGCUGGGUCUUAAAUAGUGAAUACACAAGUGCUAAGAUAGGAAGGAAAAUAUUUUACCUAAUUACAUAAUCAAUCUUAUUAAAUCUGACUUUUCCUAAUUGAUAGACAGUAUCAUUUACAAUAUUCCUACAACAUUUUAACAUUUUCACUACUCCGUGCCAUCCGGCCGACCCUCACCCCUUAUGAAGCAAUUGUAUAGUUUCUGUAAGAACUCCUCAAUCUCCCAAUCUCAGUUAUAAAUGGCCCUUUUGAAAUAAUAUCUUGAAUAAUAUCCUGACUAUCUAUCUUACGGUAGUCAGCCAUUGUAACCUCCAUGUUAAACUAAACCUAAAUAUGUGGAUGUGCCUCCUGCAAAGUUGUUUCUCCACUCCAAAAUCCUUCCAGGAUAAUAGUUUCUUUUUAUUAUAGUGCUAACAGCUAUCCGAUGUGCCCUGUGAACCUAUAUCUUCCCUUCAUGAUCCUCUUUGGCACACUUACCCCAUAAGAGUCCAUCGUCUCACCCGGAAAGAUCUAAUGUUGUCUAAUUUCAUAUUAGGCUAUUAAGUGUUCUUCCAACAAGUGAAUCUCCACACCCACUACUCAGUAUUUCGGCAUUGAAAUUAGAUAAUUUCCGGAUCUAUAGUUCCCCUUCCCACAAGAUCCCCUUCAUCUGUGGGAAAUUUUAUCUUCUUGUCAACCACAUUCUACCAAAAAUUUCUCUGCACCCUCAUUUCCUUCGUACGAGAAGUCUCUCAUAUUUUCUCCAAAUUUCCUGCAAUGCCAAAGAAUACAAAAUAAAGACAUAUAUGUGGAUAUGUCGUACUUGUAGACUUCAAUGACGUAAUUUCCCGUCCUUAGACUAAUAUUGUCUCUUCCCACUUGCUCAACCUUUUCUUCAGUUUCUCUUACAAGAGAUCCAUAUCUUUGAUAUUCCUCUCGAGAAGCAACCCCUGAUAUGCUGCUGAUACUGUAACCAACCUUACUGGCAACAUGGUUUUACAAGAUACAGUUUCAGAUAGGGGUUUGGUUCAGGGAACACCAAUAAUCUGUUCACUGAAGAUUCAAGCGACAGGCAUAGAAAUCACAAAUUACGCCUACAAUGGACAUUAGCUGUGAAAUUUCUGUCUGGCCCGGAUACUCAUAGAUUUGUCCAGUGAUAUGAGGAUGGUCAAUUGUGUGUUGGAUUGCAAUUCUCAGAUUUCUUAUGCGGAACUGGAAGAAGUAAUCUGUAUUCAAAAGUCACUUCACUUGAGCAAAAAAUGCAAGCAAGGAUUUGGUGAUCUAAAAACCAGCUAACUAAUUGUCAUGUGCAAUUUCAUUUUACUGCAAUAUUUCAAUUUGAACUCAUCAGCAUGCCCUUCUUUUUAUUUGUCUGCUAAUUUCUUGUUCCACUAUCUUUGGCCAG